rnacentral:rRNA from 1 species
GGAUUAGAUACCCUGGUAGUCCACGCCGUAAACGAUGUAUACUCGAUGUUCGCGAUAUAGUGUGAGCGUCCAAGAGAAAUUAUUAAGUAUACCACCUGGGGAGUACGGUCGCAAGAUUGAAACUCAAAGGAAUUGACGGGGGCCCGCACAAGCGGUGGAGCAUGUGGUUUAAUUCGAUGAUACGCGAGGAACCUUACCUAGGCUUAAAUGUAGAUUGACAGGACUGGAAACAGUUUUUUCUUCGGACAAUUUACAAGGUGCUGCAUGGUUGUCGUCAGCUCGUGCCG